rnacentral:lncRNA from 1 species
GAAUGCCCAAGUGAUAAGCAACAUGUUACGAAUCAAAUCGUAGGUAGCACCCAUGGUCAAACAAAUAUUUACAUUCUUUCAUAAACAUGCAUAAUACCUUUGACCACUGAUUCAGAAGUUUUAGAAUCAUAUUCAGUGAUAGCAUACACUCUGACAUGGGCUGAUAAUUUAUGAGGUAGUGACUCUUUCUUCUUGUUCAAUGGGCAGUCUUUUAUUUCAUGAUCCAACUUUCCACAAGUAAAAUAGACUCCAGUCACCCGAAAACACAAACUUAUUUCAUAAUUUAACUUGCAAUUCACACGUGAUUGAGUCUUUUGUGGUGACUUCCCAUUUCAAAUCCAAAUGUCUUGAUCCUCUUGUUAUUACUUUCUGAUUCAUUUCCAAUCAUAUUUUUAUUGGUAAACAUGUCCUUAUCAUUCUUGCCACUGAUCUUCAAAAAAAAAAAAAAAUUUUCAUUGUUCCCAUUAAUGAUCAGCCUCUACUUCCAAUAAAAGGUGGCAAAAGAAAUCUUUCGAUCAUCAGAAUAAUUUUGUACAUCAAAUAUCUUCUCCAUUUGCAUCAUCCAUUUUUCUACCACCAAUGAAAUUAGGUUCAUCAUGCUUCUGCUGCGCCACUCUGAUUCAAUAUCCCCAAUCAAUCCUUUCAUUCCCCUUAAUUAAUCAGAAACAAAUGAAAUAGGAGGACCAAAUGUCCUCAUCAUCCCAGAUUCCUAAAAUGCAUCAAAGAAAAUUUCCACCAAUCACUAUAGUUCAUUAGACCUCAAUAUAUUUUGCACGUCAACAUAUCAAAUAUUUCAAUAAUCCUCAAACAAUGCUCUGAUACCACCUCUGUCACGCCCCUCAAAAUAUCCAUAAUAUUAAAAAUUUUCAUCACAAACUAAUCCAGGAUCCAAACUAACAUUUGAGGACACGGAAAACAUUCUAUUAAAUUCAUAUCUAUAAAACCUGCGCAGUUUAUAAACAUACAACACAUUGCUCGAUGAUUCAUAAAAUCUGAACCCAACUCAUCAAAUUAAUAACCACAACAUAAAUUCAC